rnacentral:tRNA from 1 species
GCCUGGGUGGCUCAGUCGGUUAAGCAUCUGACUUCGGCUCAGGUCAUGAUCUCACAGUUUGUGGGUUCGAGCCCCAUGUCGGGCU